rnacentral:rRNA from 1 species
GGCCUGGCUGGGCGGUCCGCCUCACGGCGUGUACUGUCUGGCUGGGUCUUACCUCUUGGUGAGCCGGCGUGCCCUUUAUUGGUGUGCGUCGGGGAACCAGGACUUUUACUUUGAAAAAAUUAGAGUGUUCAAAGCAGGCAUAUGCUCGAAUACAUUAGCAUGGAAUAAUAGAAUAGGACG